rnacentral:rRNA from 1 species
GACAGAGGUGCCAAGCGUUAGGCGGAAUCACUGGGCUUAAAGCGUGUGUAGGCGGAUCGUUAAGUACCUUGUGAAAUCCCACGGCUCAACCGUGGAACUGCUGGGUAUACUGGCGGUCUUGAGCCACCUAGGGGCAACUGGAACAAGCGGUGGAGCGGUGAAAUGCGCAGAUAUCAGGAAGAACACCCGUGGCGAAGGCGGCUCUCUGGGACGGUACUGACGCUGAGACGCGAAAGCGUGGGGAGCGAACAGG